UACGGAGGGUGCAAGCGUUGUCCGGAUUUAUUGGGUUUAAAGGGUGCGCAGGCGGGGCAUUAAGUCAGUGGUGAAAGCCUUCGGCUCAACCGAAGAAAUGCCAUUGAAACUGAUGCUCUUGAGUACGGAUGAGGUAAGCGGAAUUUAUGGUGUAGCGGUGAAAUGCAUAGAUACCAUAAAGAACACCGAUAGCGAAGGCAGCUUACUAGACCGUAACUGACGCUAAUGCACGAAAGCGUGGGGAGCGAACAGG
rnacentral:rRNA from 1 species